GCAUCUUAUAAGAAAGUAUGGCAUCAGUCGAAUCGAAGAUGGACAGUGAAUCAACAGAAUAGGCUUCAUGCCAACUCGGAAGAGAAGGAGCUGUUGUUGCCUUAAGAGUUUUGGAUAGUAAAGCACCAGUCCUUAAGCCGCAUGCUUGAUUGCCUUUCUUACGUUCUGACUUUCCUGUUGUCGGAAUAAACGCUCUCUUGUCGCAAUUGAAUCUGAAGGGCUUGUUCUCGCUUCUUGCUGCAAGAAAAGAAGGGGUUGCUAUUGAAUCGUCUGUGAACGAAUCUACUCUUAUCUUAUAGCGAAAGGCAAGGCGAUGAAUUCAAU
rnacentral:misc_RNA from 1 species